CCCGACCUACACAUCUUCCCUUUUAUGCUUUUUCUCAAACUUACCUACUCUGUUCUUUCCUUGGCCGAAGCUGGCAAACCCAAAACUGCCAUGGCCGCCGUUGUUCACUGGCGACGAAUUAAACUUCUGGCCACCAUCCACGGCGGUCGGUAAAAUCAAAACUCACACAAAAUAACCUUAAUCCCUCGAUAUAUACCUAAAUCCGAAUCAGAGCCAAAAACGUAUAAAUAAGACCUAGACACCCCUAAACCGAGACCCAACCUUUGGCUUCCCUUUGCUCCGACGAACCCCUAAUAUUCUCCUUGCUGACGCGACUCAAGUCCAGCGAGGAUCUCCGAUGAGGAGACUCCAACGACUCAGAGGUUCUCCCUGCCAUCACUCAUCCGUAUAAUGGAGGUGAGGCUCUGUCAAAGUCAGAGUCCUUUUUGUAAAAUAUAAUUUUGUAGCGAAUAAUCAAGGAGAGGGUACCAUUAGCUCACACGAGGGGCUCUGCUGCUGAUGUGAAUGAUGAACCGUUGGGGACUACUGUUUUGGGAUUCUCACAUAAAGAUGAUAACUGUGCGUGAAUGGUUUUUAUUACCGGUGGUGGCGGGGGCAAAGGUACCUUGGCUAGGGUUUCUUGCAAACCUAAAUUACUUGGGUUCAUUAGGCCACAUAGGGUGUGGGUCAUAGGCGAUAGAUGGGCUAUUGACUUGAAUUGUGUAAUGGUGUUGUAGAAAAUAAUUUUUUUCAGUUUAUUAUUAUUAU